CGGUAAUUCCAGCUCCAAUAGCGUAUAUUAAAGUUGUUGCCGUUAAAAAGCUCGUAGUCGAACUUCGGCCUUUGCCGCCCGGUCCGCCCUAUGGGUGUGUACUGGAGCGGUGGAGGCUUACCUCGUGGUGAACGGCCAUGCUCUUUACUGAGUGUGGUCGGGAACCAUGAUUUUUACUUUGAAAAAAUUAGAGUGUUCAAAGCAGGCUUACGCCCGAAUAUAUUAGCAUGGAAUAAUAAAAUAGGACGUGCGGUUCUAUUUUGUUGGUUUCUAGAAUCGCCGUAAUGAUUAAUAGGGAUAGUUGGGGGCAUUCGUAUUCAAUUGCUAGAGGUGAAAUUCUUGGAUUUAUUGAAGACGAACUACUGCGAAAGCAUUUGCCAAGGAUGUUUUCAUUGAUCAAGAACGAAGGUUAGGGGAUCGAAAACGAUCAGAUACCGUUGUAGUCUUAACAGUAGACGAUGCCGACUAGGGAUCGGACGAGGAUUUUUAAUGACUCGUUCGGCACCUGAAGAGAAAUCUUUAAGUCUAGGUUCGGGGGGGAGUAUGGUCGCAAGGCUGAAACUUAAAGGAAUUGACGGAAGGGCACCACCAGGUGUGGAGCCUGCGGCUUAAUUUGACUCAACACGGGGAAACUCACCAGGUCCAGACACGACAAGGAUUGACAGAUUGAUAGCUCUUUCUUGAUUUCGUGGCUGGUGGUGCAUGGCCGUUCUUAGUUGGUGGAGUGAUUUGUCUGGUUAAUUCCGAUAACGAACGAGACCUUAACCUGCUAAAUAGCCCGGCCGACUUUGGUUGGUCGCUGGCUUCUUAGAGGGACUAUCAGCGUUUAGCUGAUGGAAGUUUGAGGCAAUAACAGGUCUGUGAUGCCCUUAGAUGUUCUGGGCCGCACGCGCGCUACACUGACCGAACCAGCGAGUUUAUCACCUUGGCCGGAAGGCCUGGGUAAUCUUGUGAAACUCGGUCGUGAUGGGGAUAGAGCAUUGCAAUUAUUGCUCUUCAACGAGGAAUACCUAGUAAGCGUGAGUCAUCAGCUCGCGUUGAAUUCGUCCCUGCCCUUUGUACACACCGCCCGUCGCUACUACCGAUUGAAUGGCUUAGUGAGGUCUCCGGAUUGGCUUCUGGGAGCCGGCAACGGCACCUAGUCGCUGAGAAGUUGAACGAACUUGGUCAUUUAGAGGAAGUAAAAGUCGUAACAAGGUAGCCG
rnacentral:rRNA from 1 species